rnacentral:rRNA from 1 species
GGGUUGUGAGGUUAAGCGACUAAGCGUACACGGUGGAUGCCCUGGCAGUCAGAGGCGAUGAAGGACGUGCUAAUCUGCGAUAAGCGCCGGUAAGGUGAUAUGAACCGUUAUAACCGGCGAUUUCCGAAUGGGGAAACCCAGUGUGACUCGUCACACUAUCAUUAACUGAAUCCAUAGGUUAAUGAGGCGAACCGGGGGAACUGAAACAUCUAAGUACCCCGAGGAAAAGAAAUCAACCGAGAUUCCCCCAGUAGCGGCGAGCGAACGGGGAGGAGCCCAGAGCCUGAAUCAGCAUGUGUGUUAGUGGAAGCGUCUGGAAAGGCGCGCGAUACAGGGUGACAGCCCCGUACACAAAAGCGCAUGUGUUGUGAGCUCGAUGAGUAGGGCGGGACACGUGGUAUCCUGUCUGAAUAUGGGGGGACCAUCCUCCAAGGCUAAAUACUCCUGACUGACCGAUAGUGAACCAGUACCGUGAGGGAAAGGCGAAAAGAACCCCGGCGAGGGGAGUGAAAAAGAACCUGAAACCGUGUACGUACAAGCAGUGGGAGCACAGGUUUACCUGUGUGACUGCGUACCUUUUGUAUAAUGGGUCAGCGACUUAUAUUCUGUAGCAAGGUUAACCGAAUAGGGGAGCCGUAGGGAAACCGAGUCUUAACCGGGCGUUAAGUUGCAGGGUAUAGACCCGAAACCCGGUGAUCUAGCCAUGGGCAGGUUGAAGGUUGGGUAACACUAACUGGAGGACCGAACCGACUAAUGUUGAAAAAUUAGCGGAUGACCUGUGGCUGGGGGUGAAAGGCCAAUCAAACCGGGAGAUAGCUGGUUCUCCCCGAAAGCUAUUUAGGUAGCGCCUCGUGAAUUCAUCUCCGGGGGUAGAGCACUGUUUCGGCUAGGGGGCCAUCCCGGCUUACCAACCCGAUGCAAACUGCGAAUACCGGAGAAUGUUAUCACGGGAGACACACGGCGGGUGCUAACGUCCGUCGUGAAGAGGGAAACAACCCAGACCGCCAGCUAAGGUCCCAAAGUCAUGGUUAAGUGGGAAACGAUGUGGGAAGGCCCAGACAGCCAGGAUGUUGGCUUAGAAGCAGCCAUCAUUUAAAGAAAGCGUAAUAGCUCACUGGUCGAGUCGGCCUGCGCGGAAGAUGUAACGGGGCUAAACCAUGCACCGAAGCUGCGGCAGCGACGCUGAUGCGUUGUUGGGUAGGGGAGCGUUCUGUAAGCCUGCGAAGGUGGCCUGUGAGGGUUGCUGGAGGUAUCAGAAGUGCGAAUGCUGACAUAAGUAACGAUAAAGCGGGUGAAAAGCCCGCUCGCCGGAAGACCAAGGGUUCCUGUCCAACGUUAAUCGGGGCAGGGUGAGUCGACCCCUAAGGCGAGGCCGAAAGGCGUAGUCGAUGGGAAACGGGUUAAUAUUCCCGUACUUGGUGUUACUGCGAAGGGGGGACGGAGAAGGCUAUGUUGGCCGGGCGACGGUUGUCCCGGUUUAAGCGUGUAGGUGUGUGUUCCAGGUAAAUCCGGUUCACUUUAACACUGAGGCGUGAUGACGAGGCACUACGGUGCUGAAGCAACAAAUGCCCUGCUUCCAGGAAAAGCCUCUAAGCAUCAGGUAACAUCAAAUCGUACCCCAAACCGACACAGGUGGUCAGGUAGAGAAUACCAAGGCGCUUGAGAGAACUCGGGUGAAGGAACUAGGCAAAAUGGUGCCGUAACUUCGGGAGAAGGCACGCUGACAUGUAGGUGAAGUGAUUUACUCAUGGAGCUGAAGUCAGUCGAAGAUACCAGCUGGCUGCAACUGUUUAUUAAAAACACAGCACUGUGCAAACACGAAAGUGGACGUAUACGGUGUGACGCCUGCCCGGUGCCGGAAGGUUAAUUGAUGGGGUCAGCGCAAGCGAAGCUCCUGAUCGAAGCCCCGGUAAACGGCGGCCGUAACUAUAACGGUCCUAAGGUAGCGAAAUUCCUUGUCGGGUAAGUUCCGACCUGCACGAAUGGCGUAAUGAUGGCCAGGCUGUCUCCACCCGAGACUCAGUGAAAUUGAACUCGCUGUGAAGAUGCAGUGUACCCGCGGCAAGACGGAAAGACCCCGUGAACCUUUACUAUAGCUUGACACUGAACAUUGAGCCUUGAUGUGUAGGAUAGGUGGGAGGCUUUGAAGUGUGGACGCCAGUCUGCAUGGAGCCGACCUUGAAAUACCACCCUUUAAUGUUUGAUGUUCUAACGUGGACCCGUAAUCCGGGUUGCGGACAGUGUCUGGUGGGUAGUUUGACUGGGGCGGUCUCCUCCUAAAGAGUAACGGAGGAGCACGAAGGUUGGCUAAUCCUGGUCGGACAUCAGGAGGUUAGUGCAAUGGCAUAAGCCAGCUUGACUGCGAGCGUGACGGCGCGAGCAGGUGCGAAAGCAGGUCAUAGUGAUCCGGUGGUUCUGAAUGGAAGGGCCAUCGCUCAACGGAUAAAAGGUACUCCGGGGAUAACAGGCUGAUACCGCCCAAGAGUUCAUAUCGACGGCGGUGUUUGGCACCUCGAUGUCGGCUCAUCACAUCCUGGGGCUGAAGUAGGUCCCAAGGGUAUGGCUGUUCGCCAUUUAAAGUGGUACGCGAGCUGGGUUUAGAACGUCGUGAGACAGUUCGGUCCCUAUCUGCCGUGGGCGCUGGAGAACUGAGGGGGGCUGCUCCUAGUACGAGAGGACCGGAGUGGACGCAUCACUGGUGUUCGGGUUGUCAUGCCAAUGGCACUGCCCGGUAGCUAAAUGCGGAAGAGAUAAGUGCUGAAAGCAUCUAAGCACGAAACUUGCCCCGAGAUGAGUUCUCCCUGAGACUUAGAGUCUCCUGAAGGAACGUUGAAGACGACGACGUUGAUAGGCCGGGUGUGUAAGCGCAGCGAUGCGUUGAGCUAACCGGUACUAAUGAACCGUGAGGCUUAACCUUACAACGCCGAAG